rnacentral:rRNA from 1 species
CCUACGGGUGACAGCAGUGAGGAAUAUUGGUCAAUGGACGCGAGCCUGAACCAGCCAAGUCGCGUGAAGGAAGACUGCCCUAUGGGUUGUAAACCUCUUUUUUAUGGGAACAAAAGACGGUACGCAUAGCGUCUCGACUGUACCACAUGAAUAAGGAUCGGCUAACUCCGGGCCAGCAGCCGCGGUAAUACGGAGGGUGCGAGCGUUAUCCGGAUUUAUUGGGUUUAAAGGGUGCGUAGGUGGAAUGUUAAGUCAGAGGUUAAAGUUUGGGGGUCAACCGUACUAUUGCAGUUGAAACUGGCAGUCUUGAGUGCGUUAGAGGUAUGCGGAAUGCGUGGUGUAGCGGUGAAAUGCUUAGAUAUCACGAAGAACUCCGAUUGCGAAGGCAGCUCACUGGACUGCAACUGACACUGAUGCACGAAAGUGUGGGUAUCAAACAGGAUUAGAUACCCCUGUAGUC